rnacentral:rRNA from 1 species
AGAGUUUGAUCAUGGCUCAGGACGAACGCUGGCGGCGUGCUUAACACAUGCAAGUGGAGCGACGAACCAGGCUUCGGCCUGGGGCAGAGCCGCGAACGGGUGAGUAACACGUGGGUAACGUGCCCCGAUGACUGGGACAACCCGAGGAAACUCGGGCUAAUACCGGAUGUGCCCUCCGGCCACAAGGCCGCUGGGGAAAG